rnacentral:rRNA from 1 species
AGAUUGAACGCUGGCGGCAUGCCUAACACAUGCAAGUCGAACGGCAGCGCGGGUAGCAAUACCUGGCGGCGAGUGGCGGACGGGUGAGGAAUACAUCGGAAUCUACCCAGUCGUGGGGGAUAACGCAUCGAAAGGUGCGCUAAUACCGCAUACGACGGAGACGUGAAAGCGGAGGACCGUAAGGCUUCGCGCGAUUGGAUGAGCCGAUGUCGGAUUAGCUAGUUGGCGGGGUAAGAGCCCACCAAGGCGACGAUCCGUAGCUGGUCUGAGAGGAUGAUCAGCCACACUGGGACUGAGACACGGCCAGACUCCGUACGGGAGCAGCAGUGGGGAAUAGUGGACAAGUGGGCG